rnacentral:rRNA from 1 species
AUUGAACGCUGGCGGCAUGCCUUACACAUGCAAGUCGAACGGUAACAGGUCUUCGGAUGCUGACGAGUGGCGAACGGGUGAGUAAUACAUCGGAACGUGCCUAGUAGUGGGGGAUAACUACUCGAAAGAGUGGCUAAUACCGCAUGAGAUCUACGGAUGAAAGCAGGGGAUCGCAAGACCUUGUGCUACUAGAGCGGCCGAUGGCAGAUUAGGUAGUUGGUGGGAUAAAAGCUUACCAAGCCGACGAUCUGUAGCUGGGCUGAGAGGACGAUCAGCCACACUGGGACUGGGAAACGGCCCAGACUCCUACGGGAGGCAGCAGUGGGGAAUUUUGGACAAUGGGCGAAAGCCUGAUCCAGCAAUGCCGCGUGCAGGAUGAAGGCCUUCGGGUUGUAAACUGCUUUUGUACGGAACGAAAAGCCCCGGGUUAAUACCCUGGGGUCAUGACGGUACCGUAAGAAUAAGCACCGGCUAACUACGUGCCAGCAGCCGCCGUAA